UGUAGAAAUAUCCUAACAUAAAAUACCCGAACCCGACUCGAAGUGUAGAAAUAUCCGAACUGCUACUCACUUAAAUAUAUAUAUCAAACUCUUGUUUUUUGCAUUAACAAAAGUUGCAUCUAAAAUUUCAAAACGACAACUAAAUUAGUAUCUUUCUAUUUUUAAAGUUUUAUCUCCAAACCUAUUAAUAGUUUAUUUUUAAAAAAAAUAGAAAACCAGUUAAAAUAUAUUUUAAAUACAAAAAACUUAAAAAAUGAAUCAUUUAUUUAUUUUUUUCUUCAAAUUUAAAUAUCCGA
rnacentral:lncRNA from 1 species